rnacentral:other from 1 species
UUUCCCCUGCAGUGUUCGUGCUUGGUCAGCAGUAUCUUUGAACCAAUGCGCUUGCGCUAUGGCUGCCGCGCUCUUGUGAUGCGGUGUGCGCGUCCCACGUGGAAGCGCCUGAAGCGUCCGGCAGGCGGCCUUCUUGAACCUAGGUUCAGGAUCUCCAGGGCCACACGGCACAGGCGGGGGAUCU